GAUGUGGUGGUGCAGUGGUUAAGUGUGCUUGACUUGAGAUUGAAAGGUCCCAAGUUCAAGUCCUUGCCAUGGCC